CCCGACCCACUCCCCAAAUAUACGCAGAAGAGAUACACGGAGACUCCCCAAGCCCUAAAUCUCAAACGAACAUUGUUCCUCCAUCAUUCUCACUCGAACCAAGCCCCAAAUUUAGUCCAACUUCGGGCGAGUGAAUCCCAAAUCCUUAACCCACACGUCCCUCCUUCUCUCAUUUUGCCGUUGCUAAUGGUUUCUGAUGCAAGAUUCCCAUCCCCUCUCACUCGCUCGAAUUCAAGUUUUACCAUACGAUUUGAAGGUUCUGGAGACGAGAUAUUGGAUGAGUGUAAGGCGUUGGAUUGAUUUCACUCAAUUCGAGCCCCACAUUCAUCAAGGAUUCGUCUUCAAAAGAAGCCUUAUCCGAUUUUGUGAAGGAGGGAGAUUUUUCUAGAGUUCUUGAGUUUUUUGGUGUGAGGUUGCUUCAGGUUUUUCUUUUCAACCUUCUUCNNNNNNNNNNNNNNNNNNNNNNNNNAUUUUCUAUUUUUUUUGUCAUUUCUUCUUUCUCCUGAUUUCUGGUCCUCAACAAUGGAGCUUGAUUAAAGUUUGAGUUGGAAUUUGCGUUUAAGUCCUAAAUCUCGGUAUCGUUUCAAAUUUCUGUCUGAGCUUUUGAUCUCUACUCGCUUUUGUUGUUGAUUGCUAGUAUUAGCUAUUGAAUUUCACUUGUAUUCCUCGUUCGAGCAAAGUUAAUCAGAAGUGUUUAUCGAUUCCAGGUUCAUUUCUUCUUCAUUUUUAUUUGUUUUUCCGUGAUUCUGUGUCGUGUGCUCAUGUUCUAUUAUGUUUUAGUCUAAGACUGCCUGAAAGUCAGUGUUUGUUGUUUAGAUUAAAGGCUGAGUUCUGUUGGCCUUGAUUCAGGUUUGUUUCUGUUUUUGUGUUUAUUCUAUAUUGGACGAGCGAUUGUAUGCACCGAUAUAAUGGUUGCAGUUGUAUAAAUUCGCCCACUCGUUUGUUAAAUUUGAGCAAUGAAACAAAUUCAUGAAACCUUAAGGGUGGAAGCCUUCUUGUUUGAUCAUUUCUGCUGGUUUAGCUACAGUUUGAGUGCUAAGUGAUUGUUGGGCUUGGUUCACUUGUGAAUUAGUGGAUUGACACGCAUUUAGCUUCACUAUAAGGCCACAGAGAUUAAUGUUCACGUUUCCAACAGUCAUUUCUGUCCUUAGGCUUCUUGAACAGAAUUAAACAUGAAAAUUGUGAAGUAUUAUGGCUGCCUAGUAGCCAUCAAAGUUGGUAUAUAUGGGAAUGAGUUUUGAAAAAGAAUUCUUGUUUGUGUGUGGAGUUUAAACUUGCAAUAAGCCAUGAGACUCCUUCUAAUCACUGUCCAUUUGGUGGUCAAUUAGUUCGGCAGCUUACGGAUAUUCAUUAAACUUCGAUUUGUUUGGUUUUCACUUGUAUGAUUGGGGCGUAACUAACUGCAUAUCAUCUGAGCAAGUUGCCAAUAAGAGGCAUGUUCAUGUGUUCGUAUCUUAAGUAUUCUUGACUGUAUCUGUUGGUUUUUGUUCGAUUUCGGUCAUUGUUAGCUGUGCAAUCUCGUCUGUUGUAGAUGCUGGAGUAUUUCGGCCUCUGAAAUUUCUUGAGCCAGGUAGUUUGAGCUAUGAGGG
rnacentral:lncRNA from 1 species